rnacentral:lncRNA from 1 species
AUUACCUUCGAUAAAAUUUAAUUCUUCAAAGGUGAGAUGGCAUGGUAGAGCAGCAGGAGGUCCAGCAAGGUAGCGCUGAACAACUAACAUCCUAUUCUAUUUUGCCACUUGUAGGUGCAUCAAAAGGACUUGGUAUUUAGGUGGAGCACUCUCCAAAGGUGUCUCCACAGGUGGAGGGAGCUCAGAUGGAUGAAAAGAAGCUAGG